rnacentral:rRNA from 1 species
GAUGAACGCUGGCGGCGUGCCUAAUACAUGCAAGUCGAGCGAACAGAUGAGGAGCUUGCUCCUCUGACGUUAGCGGCGGACGGGUGAGUAACACGUGGAUAACCUACCUAUAAGACUGGGAUAACUUCGGGAAACCGGAGCUAAUACCGGAUAAUAUAUUGAACCGCAUGGUUCAAUAGUUAAAGACGGUUUUGCUGUCACUUAUAGAUGGAUCCGCGCCGCAUUAGCUAGUUGGUAAGGUAACGGCUUACCAAGGCAACGAUGCGUAGCCGACCUGAGAGGGUGAUCGGCCACACUGGAACUGAGACACGGUCCAGACUCCGACGGGAGGCAGCAGUAGGGAAUCUUCCGCAAUGGGCGAAAGCCUGACGGAGCAACGCCGCGUGAGUGAUGAAGGUCUUCGGAUCGUAAAACUCUGUUAUUAGGGAAGAACAAAUGUGUAAGUAACUAUGCACGUCUUGACGGUACCUAAUCAGAAAGCCACGGCUAACUACGUG